rnacentral:ncRNA from 1 species
UAUACAUGUACAAAUUUCUUGUAGCUUUAUGCUUGAAAGGGUGAAAGAAAUAGCUUGGAAGUGACCAUUUUCUAGUCCACAUGGGUGUGUGUCUCAGUCGUGUGUGGCUAAGGAGAAAAAGGAGGAAUCCGCCCGAGGAGGUGCUCGCGUCUGGUUAGCUAGUUGGUGAGGCAAUAGCUUACCAAGGCGAUGAUCAGUAGCUGGUCUGAGAGGAUGAUCAGCCACACUGGGACUGAGACACGGCCCAGACUCCUACGGGAGGCAGCAGUUG